rnacentral:rRNA from 1 species
GGGGAAUAUUGCACAAUGGGCGAAAGCCUGAUGCAGCAACGCCGCGUGAGUGAUGAAGGUCUUCGGAUUGUAAAGCUCUGUCUUUUGGGACGAUAAUGACGGUACCAAAGGAGGAAGCCACGGCUAACUACGUGCCAGCAGCCGCGGUAAUACGUAGGUGGCGAGCGUUGUCCGGAUUUACUGGGCGUAAAGGGUGCGUAGGCGGAUGUUUAAGUGAGAUGUGAAAUACCCGGGCUUAACUUGGGUGCUGCAUUUCAAACUGGAUAUCUAGAGUGCAGGAGAGGAGAAUGGAAUUCCUAGUGUAGCGGUGAAAUGCGUAGAGAUUAGGAAGAACACCAGUGGCGAAGGCGAUUCUCUGGACUGUAACUGACGCUGAGGCACGAAAGCGUGGGUAGCAAACAGGAUUAGAUACCCUGGUAGUCCACGCCGUAAACGAUGAGUACUAGGUGUAGGAGGUAUCGACCCCUUCUGUGCCGCAGUAAACACAUUAAGUACUCCGCCUGGGAAGUACGAUCGCAAGAUUAAAAC